rnacentral:rRNA from 1 species
GUUAAAAAGCUCGUAGUUGGAUUUCUGCGGGGACGGAGCGGCCGGACGCAACUUGCGUCUCGAGCUAGCGCUUUCCCCGCAUCCUGCCGCGAACCGUGCUACCAUUAGUUUGGUGGCGCUGGGGAUCGGCUCGAUUACUUUGAGAAAAAUAGAGUGUUCAAAGCAGGCCACACGCCUUGAAUAAGUUAGCAUGGAAUAAUGACUAAGGACUUCGGUUCUAUUUUGUUGGUGUUCGGGACUGAAGUAAUGAUUGAUAGGGACAGUUGGGGCGGUCUGUAUUCCAAAGCGAGAGGUGAAAUUCUUAGACCUUCGGAAGACAAACAGCUGCGAAAGCGUUCCGCAAGGAUGUUCCCUUUGAUCAAGAACGAAAGUUGGGGGAUCGAAGACGAUCAGAUACCGUCGUAGUCUCAACUAUAAACUAUACCAGCUAGGGAUCGGCCAACGUUUAAUUAUUCGACUUGGUCGGCACCUUAUGAGAAAUCAAAGCAUCUGGGUUCCGGGGGGAGUAUGGUCGCAAGGCUGAAACUUAAAGGAAUUGACGGAAGGGCACCACCAGCCGUGGAGCCUGUGGCUUAAUUUGACUCAACACGGGAAAACUUACCAGGUCCAGACAUAGGAAGGAUUGACAGAUUGAUAGCUCUUUCUUGAUUCUGUGGGUGGUGGUGCAUGGCCGUUUUUAGUUGGUGGAGUGAUUUGUCUGCUUAAUUGCGUUAACGAACGAGACCCCAGCCUGCUAAAUAGCGCGGCCGAGCUUUGCUCGGUGCGAGCUUCUUAG